UAGUGAGUGGUGAAGCCAAGAUUGGAACCCAGGCAAUCCAGCUUGGAAGGACAAAGGAUGGGGUCUCUGAAACAUCUCCAGCCUCAGCCCUGCUCCUGGCCUUCUCUCUCAUCCAGACAUGGCUGCAGCCUCUGGGCUGGGACUGGCCUCCCUACCUCCCCUUCAAUCCAGUGCUUCCCUGCUGCCAGAAGGAGCUUUCCAGAAAGCACAUGUCACCACAGCCCUCUCUUGCUGGAACCCAACCUCUACAGGAGACCAAGCUGCCUCCUACAGACCACAGGACCUCCAAGACUCACCAUCGCCACCUCUUGUUAUUCCUGCCCUGACUUUCCUAUCACCACCAUCAAAGGAGAGUCCCCCAGAGAUUACAUCUCAUGGCCCGGGCUUGCGGAGUGCUGGGCUCCCAGACAAAUGCAAUCAAAGGAGACAUGUCUCCUGGGAAGAGCCUCCCACAACCUCAAAGGUGAGUCAGGUAGGAAAAUAGAUGAUGUGAGCCUGGGGGCCGGUGAAGAAUAUGGAGGCCCGGGUUCCAGUUUCAGAGCAGG